CCCCCUCAAAAGAUGAGCAGAAAGUACCGUCAGACAAUGCUUGUCUAUUAUCUGAAAAACAGGAAAUAAUCAUCUUGAAAAAAAAGAACCAAGCAGCAUAAAUAUAUAAUUUGCACAUUGCAAUUGCAUAUAAUUAUUUGCACAUAAAAUGUGCUAUACUUUUAAUUGACUAAUUAAAAUUAACUAUAUUAACUAUAUUAACACAUUUUUCUAUAUUAUUAUUAUUUUUUUAUUAUUAUUAUUAUUUUUUUUUUUUUUUUUGCGUUAUUUAUAUGUGGAAAACUGUUUAACAAAGUUAAACUCUAUACUAUUUAUACUACUAAUUUAAAACAUGAUGACACCACUGCUUUGUGCAUAGCGGACCAAGAUCAUAAUUUCAUUAAUCAUGUAAAAAAUAUUUUCAUGUAUUUGAACUCUUAAGGCCCAUUCACACCAAGAACGAUAACUAUAAACAUAACUAUAAAGAUAAAUAUAUUAUCAUCCACACCAGCAGACGAUAUUGUCUGUUUAUUCCAAGCUUGUCUGCUGCUGCCGGGGGCAGCUGUGGCCUAACGGUGAGAGAUUUGGACUUGUAAUCAGAAGGUCGCAGGUUCGAGUCUCGGUGCUGGCAGGAGUUGUAGGUGGGAGGGAGUGAAUGAACAGCGCUCUCUUCCACCCUCAAUACCCAUGGCUGAAGUGCCCUUGAGCAAGGCACUGAACCCCCAGUUGCUCCCCGGGCGCUGGAUCUAUAGCUGCCCACUGCUCCGGGUGUGUGUUCACGGUGUGUGUGUGUUCACUGCUCUGUGUGUGUGCACUUCGGAUGGGUUAAAU
ensembl:lncRNA